rnacentral:lncRNA from 1 species
AGCUUCUCCGACUUCGAUGAAAUUCUGCACCAACAGAAUUGACGCUAGAGGAAGGGGUGUGUCUUUGCAGUACCCUUGUUCUUAAGGAGUGCUCAAUGGGACUGAUUCUGAUCAUCUUCUCUGACAUUUUCUUCUCCUUCUUCUACUAGAUCCUCACCUGAUGCCUCCCCGUAGAGCAUCCACCAGGCGAUCCAUGGCCUCCGUGGCCAGAUCUCAAGCUCCGACCUCACCCCCGAUUUUCCAGGCCCCUCCCCCUCUUCCGACAAUAGUGGUCGAC